UACGUAGGGUGCGAGCGUUAAUCGGAAUUACUGGGCGUAAAGGGUGCGCAGGCGGUCUCGUAAGCUGGGUGUGAAAGCCCCGGGCUCAACCUGGGAACUGCCUUUGUGACUGCAAGGCUUGAGUGCGGCAGAGGGGGAUGGAAUUCCGCGUGUAGCAGUGAAAUGCGCAGAUAUCAGGAAGAACACCCGUGGCGAAGGCGGCUCUCUGGGACGUGACUGACGCUGAGACGCGAAAGCGUGGGGAGCAAACAGG
rnacentral:rRNA from 1 species